AAUGAACGCUGGCGGCGCGCCUAAUACAUGCAAGUCGAGCGAGAAGACGUAGCAAUACGUUUGUAAAGCGGCGAACGGGUGAGGAAUACAUGGGUAACCUACCCUCGAGUGGGGAAUAACUAGCCGAAGGUUAGCUAAUACCGCGUACGCUUCUUGGACUUCGGUUCAGGGAGGAAAGCGAUGCCGAGGGUAUCGCGCUCUUGGAUGGGCUCAUGUCCUAUCAGCUUGNGGUGAGGUAACGGCUCACCAAGGCUUCGACGGGUAGCUGGUCUGAGAGGACGAUCAGCCACACUGGCACUGCGACACGGGCCAGACUCCUACGGGAGGCAGCAGUAAGGAUAUUGCGCAAUGGGCGAAAGCCUGACGCAGCGACGCCGCGUGGGGGAGUGAA
rnacentral:rRNA from 1 species